rnacentral:rRNA from 1 species
AAUCAACGCUGGCGGCGUGCCUAACACAUGCAAGUCGAACGAGAAAGCGGGGGCAACCCCGCGAGUAAAGUGGCAGACGGGUGAGUAACACGUGAACAAUCUACCCUCGAGUGAGGAAUAACCUCGCGAAAGCGGGGCUAAUACCGCAUAACAUCCCUGGGUCGCAUGAUUCGGGGAUCAAAGGCUUCGGUCGCUUGAGGAGGAGUUCGCGCCUGAUUAGCUAGUUGGUGAGGUAACGGCCCACCAAGGCAACGAUCAGUAGCCGGCCUGAGAGGGCGCACGGCCACACUGGAACUGAGACACGGUCCAGACUCCUACGGGAGGCUG